UUAAUUCAUCAGACCAGAAAA
rnacentral:piRNA from 1 species